rnacentral:misc_RNA from 1 species
AAUCAAAGAACCCAAAAAGCAGAAAUUGAAGAACAGACAUAAUAAGGAGUAGAAAGCUGAAACAGAGAGAGCUCCGUUAAACAAGAGAGAGAGAAGAAGAAGACAAGAUAGAAUAUUUUUGGUUUCAGAGAUCCUUGGGAUCUCAAAAACCCGUGAAAUGAUCAAAUUCGAUGCAAAAGGAAAAGAAAAAGAACGAGGGAAAAUUGUGGAAUAAGAAAGAUUAAAAAUUGACAUCAAAUAAGGAGAUUAAAUGUUAUGAAUAAAAAAAAAUUCGAAGAAAAAGUGAGUGCAGAUAACCAUCACCAAGACCGUCACCUGAUUCACAGUGGGGUCUCUUUCUGCAUUUCUUCUUCUUCUCCUUCGUUUUCUCU